rnacentral:tRNA from 1 species
GGAGGGGUGGCCGAGCGGUCGAAGGCGCAUGCCUGGAGAGCGUGUAGACGGUGAUGAAUCGUCUCGCGGGUUCGAAUCCCGCCCCCUCCGCCA